rnacentral:rRNA from 1 species
AUACGUAGGGGGCGAGCGUUGUCCGGAAUGAUUGGGCGUAAAGGGCGCGUAGGCGGCCCGGUAAGUCUGGAGUGAAAGUCCUGUUUUUAAGAUGGGAAUUGCUUUGGAUACUGUCGGGCUUGAGUGCAGGAGAGGUAAGUGGAAUUCCCAGUGUAGCGGUGAAAUGCGUAGAGAUUGGGAGGAACACCAGUGGCGAAGGCGAAUUUCUGGACUGUAACUGACGCUGAGGGGCGAGAGUGUGGGGAGCAAACAGGAGUAGAUACCCUGGUAGUCCUCUCUGUAAACGAAGAAUGCUAGGUGUAGGGGGUAUCGACCCCUUCUGUGCCGCAGUCAACACAAUAAGCAUUCCGCCUGGGGAGUACGGCCGCAAGGUUGAAACUCAAAUGAAUUGGCGGGG